rnacentral:piRNA from 1 species
UACUAGGAUGGAAAUUUGCAGGGCAGC